rnacentral:tRNA from 1 species
GGCAACAUGCCCGAGUGGUUAAGGGGACAGACUUGAACUAAACCGGUCCUUGACCGGCGUAUUCUAAGGUAUCUGUUGGCUUCGGCCGCGUAGGUUCGAACCCUGCUGUUGUCG